GCUUAAAACCUGCCCUUUUAUUAAUUCAAGUACUGUUGAGGGGCUGGCGACAGGCCAGAGGACAAAAUCAAAAUAGGGAUCUUCUGGCUUGGAGUUCAACCACUGACGUGGGGACUGAGCAUUUCCCCUCUCUGUACAGGAAGCAAGUUUUUUAACAAGGAAAAAGAAAAAGGAUAAAAAGAAAAAGGCAGAGGCUUGGGAGUUUUCAGAUCUGGGUUGAAAAUCCUGUUUCUUCUGCUUGCACCUUAGGCAAGAUACCUGUGGUCUCAGCUACUCAGGAGGUAGGAGGAUCGCUUGAGCCCAGGAGUUUGAGGCUUCAGUGAGCUAUAAUCGUGCCACUGUUAUUCCCGCCUGGGUGAUAGGUGAGACCCUGUCUCUU
rnacentral:lncRNA from 10 species